AGUACAUGCCGCAUUAAGGCGAAACCGCGAAUGGCUCAUUAAAUCAGUUAUGGUUCCUUGGAUCUUACUUUCCUACUUGGAUAACUGUGGCAAUUCUAGAGCUAAUACAUGCAGCAGAGCUCCGACCCUACUCGUAGGGGACGAGCGCUUUUAUUAGACCAAAACCGAUCGGUUCUGUUGACGCAGUUCCGUUUCCUGUGGUGACUCUGUAUAACUUUGGGCUGAUCGCACGGGCUCCGCCCCGGCGACGUAUCUUUCAAGUGUCUGCCUUAUCAACUGUCGAUGGUAGGUUACGCGCCUACCAUGGUCGUAACGGGUAACGGGGGAUCAGGGUUCGAUUCCGGAGAGGGAGCCUGAGAAACGGCUACCACAUCCAAGGAAGGCAGCAGGCGCGCAAAUUACCCACUCCCGGCACGGGGAGGUAGUGACGAAAAAUAACAAUACGGGACUCUUUUGAGACCCCGUAAUUGGAAUGAGUACACUCUAAACUCUUUAACGAGUAUCUAUUGAAGGGAAAGUCUGGUGCCAGCAGCUGCGGUAACUCCAGCUUCAAUAGCGUAUAUUAAAGUUGUUGCGGUUAAAAAGCUCGUAGUUGGAUCUCAGUUCGAGCCGGUCGGUCCGCCUCACCGGUGGUCUACUGUCCGUUCUCGCAACACUAUGUGCCGGUUUCCCUCGAUGAUCUUGACCGGUUGUCUUGGGUGACCGGCAAGUUUACUUUGAAAAAAUUAGAGUGCUCAAAGCAGGCUUGUAUAGCCUGAAUAAUGGUGCAUGGAAUAAUGGAAUAGGACCUCGGUUCUAUUUUGUUGGUUUUCGGAACCCGAGGUAAUGAUUAAGAGGGACAGACGGGGGCAUUCGUAUUGCGACGCUAGAGGUGAAAUUCUUGGACCGCCGCACGACGAACUACUGCGAAAGCAUUUGCCAAGAAUGUUUCCAUUAAUCAAGAACGAAAGUUAGAGGUUCGAAGGCGAUCAGAUACCGCCCUAGUUCUAACCAUAAACGAUGCCAGCUAGCGAUCCGACAGUGUUCCUCAAAUGACACGUCGGGCAGCUUCCGGGAAACCAAAGCUUUUGGGUUCCGGGGGGAGUAUGGUUGCAAAGCUUAAACUUAAAGGAAUUGACGGAAGCGCACACAAGGAUUGGGGCCUGCGGUUUAAUUUGACUCAACACGGUGCAACUCAUCCGGCCCGGACACAGGAAGGAUUGACAGAUUAAGAGCUCUUUCUUGAUUCUGUGAUAGGUGGUGCAUGGCCGUUUCUGGUUGGUGGAGUGAUUUGUCUGCUUUAUUGCGAUAACGAGCGAGACUCUAACCUGCUAAAUAGACGCCUGGAUUUUUUCUACAUGUCCAGCGUUCUUUCUUCUUAGAGGGACAGGCGGUGUUCAGCCGCACGAAACAGAGCAAAAACAGGUCAGGAUGCCCUCAGAUGCUCGGGGCCACACGCGCGCCACAUUGAAGGAACCAGCGUGUUUUCUCCCUGUCCGACAGGACUGGGUAACCCGUUGAACCUCCUUCGUGCUGGGGAUAGGAAAUUGUAAUUGUUUUCCUUGAACGAGGAAUUCCCAGUAAGCGCGAGUCAUCAGCUCGUGUUGAUUACGUCCCUGCGCUUUGUCCACACCGCCCGUCGCUAUUAUCGAUGAAUUUUGGAGUAAGAUCUUCGGACUGGUGCCCGGACUGGACCCUUCGCGGUUCGAGCCGGAGUGCCGGAAAGAUGACCGAACUUGAAUAUUUAGAGAAAAUAAAAGUCGUAACAAGGCUUCCGUAGG
rnacentral:rRNA from 1 species